rnacentral:rRNA from 1 species
CCUUUUUAUCAAAACCAUGUCUUUUUGAAUUUUUUAAAAAGUCUGACCUGCCCAAUGAAUUUUUAAUGGCCGCAGUAUUUUGACUGUGCAAAGGUAGCAUAAUCAUUAGUUUUUUAAUUGAAGGCUGGAAUGAAUGGUUGGACGAGAUAUUAACUGUUUCAUAAAAAUUUAUAAUAAAAUUUUAUUUUUUAGUCAAAAAGCUAAAAUAAAUUUAAAAGACGAGAAGACCCUAUAAAUCUUUAUAUUUUUUAUAUUUAAUUUAUUUAGAUUAAUUUAAUUUUUAUAUUUUAAAAUAUUUUAUUGGGGUGAUAUUAAAAUUUAAAAAACUUUUAAUUUUUUAAAAACAUUAAUUUAUGAAUUUUUGAUCCAUUAAUAAUGAUUAAAAAAUUAAGUUACUUUAGGGAUAACAGCGUAAUUUUUUUGGAGAGUUCAUAUCGAUAAAAAAGAUUGCGACCUCGAUGUUGGAUUAAGA